UACGUAGGGUGCGAGCGUUGUCCGGAAUUACUGGGCGUAAAGAGCUCGUAGGUGGUUUGUCGCGUUGUCCGUGAAAACUCACAACUCAAUUGUGGGCGUGCGGGCGAUACGGGCAGACCGGAGUACUGCAGGGGAGACUGGAAUUCCUGGUGUAGCGGUGAAAUGCGCAGAUAUCAGGAGGAACACCGGUGGCGAAGGCGGGUCUCUGGGUAGUAACUGACGCUGAGGAACGAAAGCGUGGGUAGCGAACAGG
rnacentral:rRNA from 1 species